UACGGGGGGAGCAAGCGUUGUUCGGAUUUACUGGGCGUAAAGGGCGCGUAGGCGGUAGCACAAGUCAGUUGUGAAAUCUCCGGGCUUAACUCGGAAAGGUCAACUGAUACUGUGCGACUAGAGUGCAGAAGGGGCAACUGGAAUUCUCGGUGUAGCGGUGAAAUGCGUAGAUAUUGGGAGGAACACCAGUGGCGAAGGCGGCUCACUGGACCGGUACUGACGCUGAUGCGCGAAAGCGUGGGGAGCAAACAGG
rnacentral:rRNA from 1 species